GACGAACGCUGGCGGCGUGCUUAACACAUGCAAGUCGAACGGAAAGGCCCCUUUGGGGGUACUCGAGUGGCGAACGGGUGAGUAACACGUGAGUAACCUGCCCUUGACUUCGGGAUAACUUCAGGAAACUGGGGCUAAUACCGGAUAGGAAUCCUUGCUGCAUGGUGGGGGUUGGAAAGCUUCGGCGGUUUUGGAUGGACUCGCGGCUUAUCAGCUUGUUGGUGGGGUAGUGGCUUACCAAGGCUUUGACGGGUAGCCGGCCUGAGAGGGCGACCGGCCACAUUGGGACUGAGAUACAGCCCAGACUCCUACGGGAGGCAGCAGUGGGGAAUAUUGCACAAUGGGCGGAAGCCUGAUGCAGCAACGCCGCGGGCGGGAUGACGGCCUUCGGGUUGUAAACCGCUUUCAGCAGGGGCGAAGCUUGUGGUGACGGUACCUGCAGAAGAAGCACCGGCUAACUACGUG
rnacentral:rRNA from 1 species